rnacentral:lncRNA from 1 species
GCAGGUCUCCUUGACGCUGGGAUGGUAUGAAAAUAAAAUGUUUCAACUAUUAUAUGUGCAAGGAAUGAAAUAAUGCAAUCAUGUAAACAAUUGUUAAAGUAAGAAAAUCAAGUAAAACACCAGGAUGUUGAAAGGAAUUCAGUGUUAGUCUGAGCUAUAUGGGGUUAGCUAUAUGUUUGUGGAGUAAAUGCAUAAAAAGUCGAAUUUACUUGAUAAUCAUGAUCACGAUAAAUUACAUA